GGCGCUUCACACCCACCUAGAGGAGCCUGUUCUAGAACCGAUGACCCCCGUUAAACCUCACCUUCUCUUGUUCCCCCCGCCUAUAUACCGCCGUCGUCAGCCCACCCUGUGAAGGCCCCGCAGUGGGCAGAACUGGCAUAGCCCAAAACGUCAGGCCGAGGUGUAGCGUAUGAGAAGGGAAGAAAUGGGCUACAAUUGCCUAAACAGCUAAAACGAAUUGUUGCGCUGAAACUGCAAACAUGAAGGAGGAUUUAGAAGUAAGGGGGGGGAAACAGAGUGCCCCCCUGAAACGGUUCUGAAGCGUGCACACACCGCCCGUCACUCUCCCCAAGCUAGAACCUAAAACAAUAACUAAGCUCUUUGACCUACAAAGGGGAGGCAAGUCGUAACAUGGUAAGUGUACCGGAAGGUGCACUUGGAAGAAAC
rnacentral:rRNA from 1 species